UCGGUCUCCGCCGCCAACCAGACCUUCGCACGCCCGAUCCAGCCCUACGCCCCCUCCACGGCCGAUCCAUCCCUAUGUCGCGGCCGAUCCAUGCCCUAUGCCGCUGCCGAUGCCUCCUCCUCCACCUCCAUUUCCAAGCGACGGCGCUCGCGGCCGUGGUCUUCUCCCCCAGCCACCAUGGCUGCAGAUCCACUCACGGCCGGUUGUCUAAGCUGCAAGCAUGGAUGGAUGGAUCCAGGAAGGUAUCCUUCCUCCCUGGGUGGGGCGAGCUACACAUCCCAUUCGGCCCUCUGUAGCCGGCCAUCUCCGCCUCCUCCUCGCCGUUGCCGCCGCCGGGGAUCGCGUCUUCACCAAGCGCGAGCUCCGCCCCAUCCGACCGACCGCAAAGGGGUUGUCCAUUGUAAAUUUUCAAGGAGAUUCAAAUGUUCCUCUUCUGGAUGAUUGAAGGGUUACUUGAAGCUAGGGCAAUCCAAGUAAGAUAGCUUCAUCCUCAGGCAACAGGUUUAUGUUAUCUUAUCAUGGAGUCAUUUUUAAGUUUGUGCCCAACGCCUUCAUCCUUAGAAUGGCUGCCCAGAUGGCAAGCCACCGUACUUAGGCGACUGCCGCGCUAGCAGGGUGCUCCAACUUUUGAUGCUGGCGAAGCUUUUGGAAUGAUGGCUACAUAAUUUGUUAGUCUCCGUUGGAAGCUUAAUUAAACUGAGAUUCAGAUGUGUGGCAAAGGAUUUCAAUUUUCCUAUUUACACAAAGGAAACUUGAGGAAGGUUCAGAUUUCUCAUGCUCGGUGUUGUGCUCUCAAGGUUACAUAGACAAGAAUGCCUCCUAUUUACACAACGGCAACCCGACGAAGGAUGACGGGGCGGGUCGGGAGGCGGGGAAAGCCGUCCAUGGCGAUCCUGGUGGCGUUGCUAAUGGCGUUAGUGGCAUUGCCGCUCCUCAUGGUGCCCGGCAUGCUCUCUAUGCCAGGCUCCAACAGCGUGGAUCGCGGCGCCGCCCUGUCGCUCCCACGCCCGUGCUUCAGCAGAUCCGUGUUUGAGUUGUGCAUACCUUUAGCCGCCUCCCCUCCAAUGUCCACGACUCUGAUAUACCGUGUUUGUUAGUCUUGACUGGUGUUUGUUCUCCGUAUUGUUGUGCAGGAGGCUAGAGAACAUCAGGGAGAAAAGGGAGUCGUGGAUGGAGGUUCUGUACUUCUGUUGUAUCAACAUCUUCUCCAUGAGUCUUUUGCCCCCACUCUGUUUUUGGUUUGGGCCGAAACGUCAUCGUCUUGAUUCUUUACGUGGUUCAUUGGCUCAGACUUGUCCUACAUGGCCGAGCGAGAUCGAGGCUAGCCGCCGGUAAUGUUCUUCUCCCGUGCAAGUUCCGCACUGCAUUGAAGCAUCCAACACAUGAUGUAGCUACGUUACAGGUGGGAUAUCAGCCAAGUAUGUUUCGAGGUGAGACAUCCAUCAAGUUUGUUUGGAGAAAUUGUGCAGUCCAGCUCCUGCGUGCUGGUCACCGAGCUCCACUGUGUCCAGCUCAUCCGACUAUGUGCUCCACUGCAUCUAGGUCAACCGAUCUUGUGGCAGAGCUACACUGACGCAAGAGCAAAUAGUUUUACAAUUUCUUUGUUGUUCCUUUGUACUGGAUAACUGUGCAUUUUUAGAGGUGUGAAGAUGUAAUGCAAUAACAGUAACUGGACGUAGGCACAUCCGUCUCGAUAAGCAUUAUGGGAACGGACAAAGGCAAGGCAUUCCAAUGUAAGAAAUGGAUGAAGGCAAGGUAUGUCAUUCUAAAAAAAGGCAAGGCAUACCAGGAUGCUGCAUUGCUUAAUGUCCAGUUCUCUACGCUUUCCCUAUAGCAACCUUUUUUAGAUCUUAUGCGUUGUGUUUUCCUAACAAAAAAAUGUCCAUAUGGAUUCACUAAAACAAGAUUAUAUUAUCAGCAAUUUUGUUUGCAUGUAA